AACGACGCUGGCGGCAUGCCUAACACAUGCAAGUCGAACGAGACCCCUGACUUCGGUUGGCGGGUCUAGUGGCGCACGGGUGCGUAACGCGUGGGAAUCUGCCCUUGGGUUCGGAAUAACUCAGAGAAAUUUGAGCUAAUACCGGAUGAUGACGAAAGUCCAAAGAUUUAUCGCCCAGGGAUGAGCCCGCGUAAGAUUAGCUUGUUGGUGGGGUAAUGGCCUACCAAGGCGACGAUCUUUAGCUGGUCUGAGAGGAUGAUCAGCCACACUGGGACUGAGACACGGCCCAGACUCCUACGGGAGGCAGCAGUGGGGAAUAUUGGACAAUGGGCGCAAGCCUGAUCCAGCAAUGCCGCGUGAGUGAUGAAGGCCUUAGGGUUGUAAAGCUCUUUUACCAGGGAUGAUAAUGACAGUACCUGGAGAAUAAGCUCCGGCUAACUCCGUG
rnacentral:rRNA from 1 species